rnacentral:rRNA from 1 species
AAUCAACGCUGGCGGCGUGCCUAACACAUGCAAGUCGCACGAGAAAGGGAGCAAUCCCUGAGUAAAGUGGCGCACGGGUGAGUAACACGUGACUAACCUACCCUCGAGUGGGGAAUAACCUAGAGAAAUCUGGGCUAAUACCGCAUAACACUUACGAGUCAAAGCAGCAAUGCGCUUGAGGAGGGGGUCGCGGCAGAUUAGCUAGUUGGCGGGGUAAUGGCCCACCAAGGCAAUGAUCUGUAUCCGGCCUGAGAGGGCGCACGGACACACUGGAACUGAAACACGGUCCAGACUCCUACGGGAGGCAGCAGUGGGGAAUUUUGCGCAAUGGGGGAAACCCUGACGCAGCAACGCCGCGUGGAGGAUGAAAUCCCUUGGGAUGUAAACUCCUUUCGAUAGGGAAGAUAAUGACGGUACCUAUAGAAGAACGCCCCCGGCUAAC